AUUGAACGCUGGCGGCAUGCUUUACACAUGCAAGUCGAACGGCAGCGGGUCCUUCGGGAUGCCGGCGAGUGGCGAACGGGUGAGUAAUGCAUCGGAACAUACCCAGUCGUGGGGGAUAACGUAGCGAAAGUUACGCUAAUAGCGCAUACGUCCUGAGGGAGAAAGCGGGGGAUCGCAAGACCUCGCGCGAUGGGAGUGGCCGAUGUCAGAUUAGCUAGUUGGGGGGGUAAGGGCCCACCAAGGCGACGAUCUGUAGCGGGUCUGAGAGGAUGAUCCGCCACACUGGGACUGAGACACGGCCAGACUCCUACGGGAGGCAGCAGUGGGGAAUUUUGGACAAUGGGGGCAAUCCUGAUCCAGCCAUGCCGCGUGCGGGAAGAAGGCCUUCGGGUUGUAAACCGCUUUCGGACGGAAAGAAAUCGCCAUCUCUAAUACAGGUGGUGGAUGACGGUACCGUAAGAAGAAGCACCGGCUAACUACGUGCCAGCCGCCGCGGUAAUAC
rnacentral:rRNA from 1 species